AGGAGGCGGGGCGCCUGUGGGAGCCGUGGAGGGAACUUUCCCAGUCCCCGAGGCGGAUCCGGUGUUGCAUCCUUGGAGCGAGCUGAGAGCUCGAGGUGAGCUGGGCUCGCGGUCGCCCCUCUCGCGCGCCCUCUUUAAGAACCACGGCGUCCAACCUCCCUGGAAAUGGGGGGAACAUGGCCGAGGCGCGUGGCGAGGCCGCCUCGUGGAGGCCCCGGAGCGGCAUCCUCAGCGCCCCAGCGAUCCGGUGCCCAUUAGGUGCGCCUUGAAGCCGAGUACAGAACCUGCUAAGGCCAUCAAACCUAUUGAUCGGAAGUCAGUCCAUCAGAUUUGCUCUGGGCCGGUGGUACCGAGUCUAAGCACUGCGGUGAAGGAGUUAGUAGAAAACAGUCUGGAUGCUGGUGCCACUAAUAUUGAUCUAAAGCUUAAGGACUAUGGAGUGGAUCUCAUUGAAGUUUCAGGCAAUGGAUGUGGGGUAGAAGAAGAAAACUUCGAAGGCUUAACUCUGAAACAUCACACAUCUAAGAUUCAAGAGUUUGCCGACCUACCUCAGGUUGAAACUUUUGGCUUUCGGGGGGAAGCUCUGAGCUCACUUUGUGCACUGAGUGAUGUCACCAUUUCUACCUGCCAUGUAUCGGCGAAGGUUGGGACUCGACUGGUGUUUGAUCACUAUGGGAAAAUCAUCCAGAAAACCCCCUACCCCCACCCCAGAGGGAUGACAGUCAGUGUGAAGCAGUUAUUUUCUACGCUACCUGUGCACCAUAAAGAAUUUCAAAGGAAUAUUAAGAAGGACUCCUAGAAGUACCCCACCCCACCCCUGCUCCUUGGAGGACAACGUGAUCACUGUAUUCAGCUCUGUCAAGAAUGGUCCAGGUUCUUCUAGAUGAUCUGCACAAAUGGCUCCUCUCCUCCUUCCUGAUGUCUGCCAUUAGCACUGGAAUAAAGUUCCUGCUGAAAAUCCACA
rnacentral:lncRNA from 1 species